UACGGAGGGGGCUAGCGUUGUUCGGAAUUACUGGGCGUAAAGGGCGCGCAGGCGGCUGCUCAAGUCAGGCGUGAAAGGCCUGGGCUCAACCCGGGAAUUGCGCUUGAGACUGGGCUGGCUUGAGUGCGGGAGAGGAUAGUGGAAUUCCCAGUGUAGAGGUGAAAUUCGUAGAUAUUGGGAAGAACACCGGUGGCGAAGGCGGCCAUCUGGACCGCAACUGACGCUGAGGCGCGAAAGCGUGGGGAGCAAACAGG
rnacentral:rRNA from 1 species